UUCGGAAAAAAUAAGUGCUCAAGUGAAGUUCUGUCGUGAAACUGAAAUUAAUUGAAGAAAAGUUGUUUCUAAUAUAAAGUGCUAAAUUUUCACAUUAGUUGUUACACACACAUACCAUGUAUAUAUAUUGUUCAACGGCAAUGCAAAUGUGUGCAGAAACAGUUGGAAAGGCAAACCUGAGGAGCUAUAACAUGGCACGAAGGCUGAAAUAAUUGCUAGUACGGGUUUCUCAAGCAUUUCUGCUCUGAACAAAGAAAAUGAAAUCAGCUCCUCGUCGUCAUCUCAGCGUGGGCACGUCAGGCAUUUUCACAUAACGGCGAAAUGGGGCCACACAAAACCAGACUUGGCGGUGCGAAAACCCAACCAAGUUUUUCAUCUUUGGCUAGAAAGUUGCACUGUAGGCAGGCUGAGGCAGAUGCCAGGCGUUUGAAUUGCUAGCCGGAGUGUGCGGAGUGUGUGUGUUGUCCUGGACUUGAGGAGUUUGGAUAGGAAGCCAGGUAUAAAACGCAGCGAAGACAGCUUGUUCUCUUGUUAUACUUGGGCGUUGAAAGUUGAUACGCGAUCGAUAGAUGUUAUAACUCGAAUGCAAUGCGUGCGAAAGGGCAUUACAACAGCUGAAAUAUGCCGUUGGUGUGGCCCCGUUAGCCGUGUGGCGAGAGUAUAUCUGAACUCAGCGACCUGUGUGUGUCGCUACCUACACACAGGGGUACUAAACAUCGUUUUUAUCAGAUUGAUUGCGUGGAUUGAAUUUAUAGGAACCUGUAUCGACUUCUCUGCUCUACUAAGACUUGUUCAAAACAAAGGCGCACAAUUACCUAUACGUUUAUAUACGGCCUUCUAUUAUUUACCUAACAUCAUCGAACCGUUAUCAAUACCGAUCCAAACAGAUAUAAACACUACUGACAUCGAUCGAUAAAGAUAUAUAUCUCGUAUCUGGAGUAGCAACUGAACGAGCCAAUCGUUAGUUCGUUUUAUGCAGCACAAUUUACAAACUAUAUUCUUGUUAUUUACUUAUUUUUUUGUUGUAAACAUAAACAUUUGCUAGUACACGACAUGUGCGACUUAAGUUCUUAAAUACCUGAAACUGUUAAACAAAAAGAAAAAAAACAAAGAAAAUAUUCUGUUUUUGUACACAACCCAAGAUUUAAGAAAAUUUGUCCAUUUAUUGUUGUAAAUAUACUUGUCCAUACCAGUUAUAGAUAAUGAAUGAAGAAUAUAAGAAAAAAAGAAUGAGCUCAUCAAUACAGAAAAGAAGCUACAAACAAAAAAGAAUAAAAGAAAUCUAAGAAGACCAAUAAAUUUCGAAACAAUUGUUCGCCAUAUUUUUAUUUUAAGCUAAAAUUCUACACAAAUUUCAGUCUUAUCAUCGUACAAAUGGAGGAAGGGCCACUCUAAAUAUCCCAUACAGGUUUAUUUACACGAAAAUUAUGCGUAUAAAAGUCUAUGAAAUUUCUAAGGUUUGAAGUUAAGGUAAACAUCGACAACAUAUAUAUAUAUAUAUAUAUAUAAAAGAGACAUUCCCUAUAAAUAUGUUAAAAUUUUUCUCUAUACGCAUUGCUUGCGAUCAUAUAAGGGAAAUAUAUGCGAAUUUGAAAAUUAUAAAUUAAGCAGGGCUUUGGUAAAUGCUAAAAUAUGCGGUAAACUGCAAAAACGGUUAAAUAUUCAAAUUUGAGACACUUCAUCAAUGGCCGUAUUAAUACAAUUUUACAGACCCAACAUUACACAAUAUUCUACAAUUUAUUCCACUUUUCUGAUUUACUUAAGAAUUUAAGUUAAGUGUCUUCAAUUUGUCUUUAAUUUUUUUUUUUUAGUUGUCUUUACUAUCAAACUAUCUUAACUAAAUAUCAAACACAGCCUGAACACAUAAAAUUUACUUCAAAUACCAAGCGGAAACUAAACAACAAGGAUUAAACACUUCCAAUCCCCAAAAGCAAUUUUUCUUCCACAACUUAUCAACAUCGGAAGUUAACUUCAAUGACAAAAGUAUCCUUUAAUGGUCAGAAUUGUCCAGCAUAAAAUGGAACAUCCCAUCCGAUUAUCUGUUUACAUUUCAACCUGGAAAUUUCCAUCAAAGAAUUAGUACAUUUUCAAACUCGUCUCAAAUUGCACCAUCUGAAACAAUGGAAACUUCGUCAGCCCAGGCAUAAAUCUACCUCAAUGCACCACAUUCAAUUCAAGCAAAUACUUCUCAAAUAUUAAUGUGCCAACCAAGUAUACAUCCACAAAAUUCGUCUGCUUCUCAACUUCUCCAUCUACAAGCAUCUCAAUAUCGUCUACUUCCCCAACUGCUCCAUCUACAAGCAACUCAAUCUUUUACUUCCUCAACUGCUCCUCCAUCUACAAGCAACUCAACACAGCUGACACCUUUAAAAUUUAUCAGACACUAUUUUAAGUUCGAUUUUCAACAAUUUCAAAAUAUUUUUUCAACGUUCUUUGUCGUUCGACAAAUUUUUACUAUUUAUAUAUAUCUGAGCCGUGAUUACAACCAAAUAUUAAAUUAAAUUUGUCAAACACAUUACGAAACGUUCUACUGACACCACGUUGUCUUAAACAUCCUUAUAAAACUGCGUCCAAUACAAAUUAUAAAUUAUUAAGCAUACGAAAAAGUGAAAACAGAAAUUUCCCUGCGAUUACAAAAAGAGCGUAAAAACACACGAAAACUGCGAAGAAUUUAAGAAAGUGGAGUGUAUGGUUAAGAGUGUGAAAACAUAGAAAUUUCCCUAAUAGGUAGGUCAUACACAAACCCCGAUUACAACCCAAAUUUAAAACAUACAAGAGCGUAAAAACACACGAAAACUGCGAUGAAUUUAAGAAAGUGGAAUGUUUAGUUAAGAGUGUGAAAACAUAGAAAUUUCCCUAAUAGGUAGGACAUACACAAACUGCGAUGAAUUUGAGAGAAUGGAGUAUUCGGUUAAGAGUGUGAGGACAUAGAAAUUUCCUUUUUAGGUAGGACAUAAACAAACCCCGAUUACAACCCAAAUUUAAAACAUACAAGAGCGUAAAAACACACGAAAACUGCGAUGAAUUUAUGAAAGUGGAGUGUUUGGUUAAGAGUGUGAAGACAUAGAAAUUUCCCUAAUAGGUAGGACAUACACAAACUGCGAAGAAUUUGAAGAAAGUGGAGUGUUUGGUUAAGAGUGUGAAAACAUAGAAAUUUCCCUAAUAGGUAGGUCAUACACAAACCCCGAUUACAACCCAAAUUUAAAACAUACAAGAGCGUUAAAACGUACACGAAAACUGCGAUGAAUUUGAGAGAAUGGAGUGUUUGGUUAAGAGUGUGAAGACAGAAAUUUCCCUAAUAGGUAGGUCAUACACAAACCCCGAUUACAACCCAAAUUUAAAACAUACAAGAGCGUUAAUUUAAGAGAAUGGAGUGUUUGGUUAAGAGUGUGAAGACAUAGAAAUUUCCCUAAUAGGUAGGUCAUACACAAACCCCGAUUACAACCCAAAUUUAAAACCUACAAGAGCGUAAAAACACACGAAAACUGCUAUGAAUUUGAAGAAAGUGGAGUGUUUGGUUAAGAGUGUGAAAACAUAUAAAUUUCCCUAAUAGGUAGGACAUACACAAACUGCGAUGAAUUUGAGAGAAUGGAGUAUUCGGUUAAGAGUGUGAGGACAUAGAAAUUUCCUUUUUAGGUAGGACAUACACAAACUGCGAUGAAUUUGAGAGAAUGGAGUGUUUGGUUAAGAGUGUGAAGACAUAGAAAUUUCCCUAAUAGGUAGGACAUACACAAACUGCGAUGAAUUUAAGAG
rnacentral:sRNA from 1 species